UAUCUGCAAAGGAGAGAGAGAAGGAGAGAGUCAGAAGGGAAGAGAGAGAGAGAGGGAGAGACAGACUGAUAGACAGAGCGCAAAUCGCAAGAGGUGAAAUAUGUGGUUGGUUCCAUUUUCUUCUCAGUUUUCAAGUCACCAUGAAAGGACGAUUCAGUCGCUUUGCAACAAAACGGAACAGAAUGUAAAUAUGUUUUGCUGUGUAUUACAUUUUUCGAUGGAUUUUUACCUGAGAGAGGUAUUUUGCGCAAUUGGUGCAAAUGUCUCAUCACCAUUAUACUCUGGAGCUGUUGUGAAUGUUAAAGGAUUUGAGGUGAAAAUGGAUUCUCCGAAACGAGCUCAUGUCAUGGAGUGAAAAAUUUGCUCCAUCACAUGACAGACGGACGACGUGUGUCGGUGGCUCAAAGACACUCAUCAUGCGGUGUGCAGGGCAGAUGAUGUUUUACAGCAGAAAACCGUCCACGUCUCAACACAACACAGCAAACUGCAAGAGGAGACUGGUAAUGAAAAGAUCAAAUCCUGUGUAGCUAUUGGGACUUUUUAAGGAAGUGUACACCCUUGAGGCUAAUGCAGCUCAAACAAUAACUAUAUUAAUGAAGACUAACAUACAACAAUGAAGUGUCUUCUGGAGUUCUUCUGUGUUUGUGAGUACUAAAACAAGCAAAACACCCCCUCUCCUAACAGCUCAUGGCCAGACAACUGCCUCCCUGCCCAGCUAUGGCUCCCCCUAGCCGUGCCUCCAUAUUUCCUUGUUAAUGCACACCAUAAUGCCCUGAACCCUCCCUGCUCUAUCACACUGUAAAGACACCAAAAUACACCUGAAAACCGCAAUUUUUCAGCCUAAAUGUGGAGUAUACAGUCUCCAUGUGCCUCCCAGCCAACAUUGGGCACCAUUGGCCACAGCAGAAGAGACAAUUUCUUACCUCUUGAUAGUGGCUGUGCCUAUGCCUUCCCCUCCAAAGUCCCAACCUCCGUCUUCUUCCCAGCAAUCCCUGCAAAAAAGGACACUUCCAUGUAUGUUGAAUAUGUAGGGGUGAUCAAAUUCGACUAAACCAUUUCUAAAAAGCCCAGAGAACCCCUAAAACCCAGAAAUGGCCCUUUUGGCCCCAAAUACAUAUAAGCUCCAAAAUGCCAUUUUAAAAUGUCAUAUCAGUGGCCUUAAACAGCAAAGCCCACUCCUCAAAUACACCAUGUCCUACCCCUAUGGUUUCAACUUAUUCUGGUCCAUCCAGUAGUCGUACAGUUGAUACAGAAGAGCAAUUGUCAGUAAGUGCGCAGCUGAACUCCUAGGCGCUUUCUGCAGCCUUUUGUGCGUUUGCCAAGUCCUGGAGCAUCUUUGAGAGGCUACAAAUAGUCCAUUGGUGGUAUUUAUGAGUCAAAGAGACCAUUUUCAUGUGGACUGGACAAAAGAAACUGGAAGGAAAAUAUUUUCAUGUGCGUAGAAACCAACCACGCAAAAAGAGAGCUAUGGAUCCAAAUGGACCUCUCCAAAAGAGCAGGUGAAUCCAAAGGCACAGAGCUCUCUCCAAAGGCUCCAGGAGAAAAACAGAGACGUGUAUCCAGCUUAAAAGGUAAUUAUUAUAAUAAUUCGGUUUAAAUUUUACCAAGUGUACUCAAAAAUUUAAAGCUACACUUAAAGAAUGUCGAAUUUAAAGUCCAUUUGAAAGCAAAGUGCACCGAGGAGAAUUUACAUUGGCACUGCAGACAGUAAAGUUAUUUAUUUAACGUGUUUAACUAUAUUAUUUACUUAAAUAUAUAGUUACUAAUACGGACAGCACUGUAGCACAGCUCACAAAUUAAAAUGACCGUCUCUCUGACCAACAGUAGCUAUGAAGCAGGCAAAAACCUGAGCUGUAAACGCACCCAGACAGUGCGCCAAAGUAGACCUGCUACGAGCCAUAGUCUGGUCCUUUAUCCAGGUUUGAAUAAGCUUAAAUUCAGACCUGCAGUACAAAGAAAUCAUUAUACGAAAAACCAUACAGACAAAUCCAAUGGAUUAUUAGAUGGGGGAAUGACUGCGCCGGCGGUUGAAGCUGUUUUCACCGAAAAAAAACCGUUAUGCAAAUUAUGAUGGCAGCUGCCAGCAAAGGGUUGAAGGACAGUCCUGUUCCCUUCAAAGCCUAUAGCUGAUGCAUAUGUUUACGUCGUAUAUUACGACAACACAUACUUACAGAUAGGAUGGGCGUUUGCCUCCCUGCGUGUCCAGACCUGAGCCUCCAGCAGGUUUGAGACCCCGCAUCCCCUCUCUGAGACACCAAGCCUCAGGCAAUAGCAACACAAGAUAAGCCCUGUUCUCCCUGUAGUGAAAACUGAAGAGAAAAUAGAAAUAAAAAGACUUGUGUCUGUUAGAAAUGACAAAGUCUUCGUUAUCUGCCCAGAAACGACUGUCCACAUCAACGCUGAGAGCUUAUUGUUGGUAAAAACAGGCGCAUGUGUAGCCUUUAUUCAGCACCAAAGCACAGCCGGAGCUCCAGCCGGACGCACGCCUGUCCUCACUGUGCAUUUGCCGCAGCAGCUGUCAAACAGAUCACAUUUCAGACUGAAGUCACAGUGCGAUGAAUACUCACAGGUCCUAUAUGAUACUGUAAUAACCACACUUGUGCAAGAUCAGCUGUGCGUCGGGCGGCGGUCAGAAUGCGUAAUAUUUAGGCUCCAGGGUGACAAACAGGCGCUGUUGCAAGACGUUCUUGUUUUUUUUAGGAGGAGCGCGCUGCUGACGGUUUGAAAGCCACAAUACUGAAGUCCGGAGGCAGUGACUAUAAACUGAACAAGAGGCACAGAACCGUGGGCACAAAUCAGCCAAAAUAUAUCAAAGACUCCCUGUUAUCAUGAAUAUUUCUUAUGGGAUUACCUAUUUAUCUUAUUCCACAAUUAGGCCUUCACGAUGCUUUUUUUUUAUAUCACUUGAGCGCAUAUGCUGUAUUGUCUAAUGUGACACCAAAUAAGCGUGUCUGAUUUCAUUCAACGUGUGACUAUUUUGAAAUAAAAUACAAAAAAAUACA